rnacentral:rRNA from 1 species
UACGGAAGGCAGCAGUGGGGAAUAUUGCACAAUGGGCGCAAGCCUGAUGCAGCCAUGCCGCGUGUAUGAAGAAGGCCUUCGGGUUGUAAAGUACUUUCAGUCGUGAGGAAGGUGUUAAGGUUAAUAACCUUAGCAAUUGACGUUAGCGACAGAAGAAGCACCGGCUAACUCCGUGCCAGCAGCCGCGGUAAUACGGAGGGUGCGAGCGUUAAUCGGAAUUACUGGGCGUAAAGGGCACGCAGGCGGUUAAUUAAGUUGGAUGUGAAAUCCCCGGGCUUAACCUGGGAAUGGCAUUCAAGACUGGUUAGCUAGAGUCUUGUAGAGGGGGUAGAAUUCCAUGUGUAGCGGUGAAAUGCGUAGAGAUGUGGAGGAAUACCGGGUGGCGAAAGGCGGCCCCUGGGACAAAGACUGACGCUCAUGUGCGAAAAGCGUGGGGAGCAAACAGGAUUAGAUACC